ACUCCUACGGGAGGCAGCAGUGGGGAAUUUUGGACAAUGGGCGAAAGCCUGAUCCAGCAAUGCCGCGUGUGUGAAGAAGGCCUUCGGGUUGUAAAGCACUUUUGUCCGGAAAGAAAUGGCUCUGGUUAAUACCUGGAGUCGAUGACGGUACCGGAAGAAUAAGGACCGGCUAACUACGUGCCAGCAGCCGCGGUAAUACGUAGGGUCCAAGCGUUAAUCGGAAUUACUGGGCGUAAAGCGUGCGCAGGCGGUUGUGCAAGACCGAUGUGAAAUCCCCGGGCUUAACCUGGGAAUUGCAUUGGUGACUGCACGGCUAGAGUGUGUCAGAGGGGGGUAGAAUUCCACGUGUAGCAGUGAAAUGCGUAGAGAUGUGGAGGAAUACCGAUGGCGAAGGCAGCCCCCUGGGAUAACACUGACGCUCAUGCACGAAAGCGUGGGGAGCAAACAGGAUUAGAUACCCUGGUAGUCCACGCCCUAAACGAUGUCAACUAGUUGUUGGGGAUUCAUUUCCUUAGUAACGUAGCUAACGCGUGAAGUUGACCGCCUGGGGAGUACGGUCGCAAGAUUAAAACUGAAAGGAAUUGACGG
rnacentral:rRNA from 1 species